UCCUUGGUGGUCCAGCGGUUACGGCUCCACACUCCCAGUGCAGGGGGCCCAGGUUCGAUCCCUGGUCAGGGAA
rnacentral:tRNA from 1 species